rnacentral:rRNA from 1 species
UACGGAGGGUGCGAGCGUUGUCCGGAAUCACUGGGCGUAAAGGGCGCGUAGGCGGCCUGAUAAGUAGGGGGUGAAAUCCUGCGGCUUAACCGCAGGGCUGCCUUCUAAACUGUCGGGCUAGAGUCCGGAAGAGGAGAGUGGAAUUCCCGGUGUAGCGGUGAAAUGCGCAGAUAUCGGGAAGAACACCCGUGGCGAAGGCGGCUCACUGGCCCGGUACUGACGCUGAGGUGCGAAAGCGUGGGGAGCAAACAGG